rnacentral:rRNA from 1 species
UACGUAGGAUGCAAGCGUUGUCCGGAAUUAUUGGGCGUAAAGAGCGCGCAGGCGGUAACUCAAGUCAGAUGUGAAAUAUCCGGGCUUAACCCGGAGGGGUCAUUUGAAACUGAGUAACUAGAGUACAGCAGAGGAUAGCGGAAUUCCCGGUGUAGUGGUGAAAUGCGUAGAUAUCGGGGAGGAACACCGGGUGGCGAAGGCGGUGGUCUGGGCCGGAACUGACGCUGAGGAGCGAAAGCGUGGGGAGCAAACAGG